UACGGAGGGUGCAAGCGUUGCUCGGAAUUAUUGGGCGUAAAGGGCAGGUAGGUGGUCUCAUUUGUCUGGGGUGAAAGCCUUGAGCUUAACUCAAGAAGUGCCUCAGAAACGGUGAGACUGGAGUCCUGGAGAGGGUCGUGGAAUUCCCGGUGUAGCGGUGAAAUGCGUAGAUAUCUGGAGGAACACCGGUGGCGAAGGCGGCAUCCUGGACCAAUAUUGACGCUGAGGAGCGAAAGCUAGGGGAGCAAACGGG
rnacentral:rRNA from 1 species